UACGUAGGGUGCGAGCGUUGCCCGGAUUUAUUGGGCGUAAAGGGCGCGUAGGCGGCUCUGCACGUCCGUUGUGAAAUCGCCCGGCUCAACUGGGCGGGGUCAGCGGAUACGGCAGAGCUCGAGCAAGCUAGGGGGCAAUGGAAUUCCCGGUGUAGUGGUGGAAUGCGUAGAUAUCGGGAGGAACACCAAUGGCGAAGGCAGCACUCUGGGACGUGACUGACGCUGAGACGCGAAAGCGUGGGGAGCAAACAGG
rnacentral:rRNA from 1 species